GCGCGAUGGCUUUCGGUGAUUAUCCGGCGGAACACAACCCGAAGAUCCACGGACCUUACAACCCUAUCCGUUGCUACGGCAA
rnacentral:lncRNA from 1 species